rnacentral:tRNA from 1 species
GGCUUGCUGGUCUAGUGGUAUGAUUCUCGCUUUGGGUGCGAGAGGUCACGGGUUCGAUUCCCGUGGCAGCCC